rnacentral:sRNA from 1 species
UCCAGUCGAUUUGGCCGCCAUGGUCGCAA